ensembl:lncRNA
CUCUUUUACAAUCUCUUCCAUGUUGGUAAGCACCAGGUCCAGCAACGCUUCACCUCUUGUUGGUCUGUCCAUUACCUAAACCAGAAAGAUAUUGUCAGUGGACUCCAAGAGUCUCCUGGGUCACUUGCAGAUCACAAUGUUGUUUUCUAGUAGAUAUUUGAGUGGUUGAAAUCUCCCAUCCAGAUGAGAACCCGUGAGCACAAUGCCUCUUGCAGCUGAAGCAAGAAGGCCUUGUCAACAGCUCCCCUUGAUCAGGCAGCUCAGAGUAGACCCUGACCACCAGAUGCCCUUUACUGGCCCUGUCCCUAAUCUUAACCCACAAGAUCUUAACCUGUUCCUGACUGUUUCUCAGGGGCAGCUCUCAGCAGAUUAUCCACUUCUUAACAAGAGGGCAACUCCCCCACCUCUCCUAUUUGCCUAUCCCUUCUAAAAAGUUUACAGCCCUCAAUCAUGGUAUUCCUCUUGUGAGUCAUCCCACCGUGUUUCCAUGAUAGCAAUAAGAUUGUAGUUUUCCAAUUGCACCACAGUUUCCAAUUCCUCCUGCUUACUUCCCAUGAUGUGUGCAUUGGUACAGAGGCAUUUCAGCUGAAAGUGCCAAAGGUCACAUCUCUGUUUGCCUUGGACCCUUUAUAGAUACAGAUAUAAAACCAGAUAAAUAUGACUGUUUGGAGCUAAAUGCGUGUGCUGCAAGAGUGUGUUAUUAAUGAGAAAAAAGCCUGAAGGCACAGUGACUCCUAGCUCAUGGCCAGCAGACCAUUGCUCUUGUUCUGGGGAAGCAAAUGGGAAAAGCAGAGCCAGCCAAGGAGCAGACAGCCUACACAGGGAUGGAUUUGCUCCUGGCCCUUUCUCAGGCAAGGCGAGAGCUUUUCCUGAGUGCAACCCACAAGACUGGAUCCACAGCUCCUCUGCCUGCAGCACUUCAAGACUUCCAGGUUGGAGACAAUGCGUCUGGAAAUUUGGGGUGAGCUGCACCUCCUGUGUGUUUUACUUGGACAGUAGGGUGUAAGUACCACGCUGCUGUGCUCUUAUUUAGCUCUGUUAUUACAGCGCUGUUUGUGAAGCAGGAAGAGUAAUCCUCAUGUAAAAAUAAUAGUAUUGCAGAGCUAGACAGCAGAUGGUGUUAUUAAAUACCUGGGCAAAGUCUAAGGUCGUAACGCUCUAACAAUUAAAAAGAUCUAUUGUGUAUCACUUAAUAGGUAACCUCCUAGUGUAGGAUGUUUGCAAGGCUGAGCAGAGAGGCGAGUGGUAUCUUGUCCGAGCCCAGACAGCUCUUCCAGUUAAGCAAAUACUUGGCAACAAUUUUCUUGUCUAAAUUUGGUGCUACCACCACAUCAGAUAGAUACAAUAUGAUCCCAUAUCAUCUCCUAAAUGAUCCCUUCUCUAAUCAGCUCCAUUAGGUUUUAAAUAGACUGCAGCUGCCUGAGAACUGGUGAUAGUUGCCCGACAUCCAGGUUCACUUAUAAGAGCAUGGAGAGGCAACUCACUGGGUGAUGUGAAUGGACAUAAGCCUGCUGCCAGGCACGUCUCCCGCUGGCUGCAGGGAGAUACUGGUGUGUGAGGUGUGCCCGCCAGCGGCCGUGGCUUCCCAUGAGCACCUGCAGCUAUGGGCCUCUCUCCCAGGUGAAACCUCCUUGUCUCAGUUGGUGAAGUUGAAGCUGAACCUCAGUAAUAUGUGGCAAGGCUCUUCCUGCUGCAUAACAUUUUAAGCCAGAACUCCAAGGAUUAAUUUUAUAUUCUAGAGACUGCACUUUCUGCAUUUUUCCCUUGGUGUUUGCUUGGCGUCUUGUGAGCUGUACCUCUCAGUUGAACCUCUCAGCUGAAUACUGGCAUCCAGGAAUGCAACUCACCUUCUCUUCUGCUAUUAGCUCAUUUUACAUGCAUAAGCAAGACUUUCUGCAUCGUAUUCAGAGAUGUGAACCCGAAAUCAUCUCUUCUGGGACUACAAGGAGACUAAGGAGGCUAACAGUCACUCUUUGGGGUAGGUUUUCGGCUUUAGUUUAAUGACCGUAAUAGUGGUGAAUGCGUUGGCAGCAGAAAUAGAAUGAUAUGGAGAACAAUAGGGAACCUGUGACUUGGUACAUUUGUCUCACAGAGGGCAGACAGGAGACAGGGAGCUAAAGGAGAGUCCUGUGGCUGCUAAUAGCUUCACACAGUACUUUUCCUCCGUGGUAAUCACUCUCCUGCUAGGAUCCACGAACUUGAGAACAAAGUACAUUUUAUUAUUUACAAGGGUUAGAUGACAAAUACAAACAGAUGGUGCAAAGAUGACUCCUAAUGCAUAGUGAUCAAGGAGUUUAAUAUUCAUGGGUAAAGGCCUGGAAGAUUAAGUAAACAGAUUCAGAUAUGCAGGGGAAAGUAUCUCAUAACAGUGCAUAAAGUCAGCGCGGCCUUUUGUGCCCUGUUACCAUUUGGAUCAACACAAUUAACAUAAAGGGAAAGAUUGGCUGGACUUUCCAUUCUCCCUAAAGUGCUCAAAUCAGGGAUUUCUGCGAGGAAACCCUAGCAAGGAGUUUUGGCAAGAUGGAGAAAAACCCUUCUCUUUUGCUAUUGAACUUUCUGUUCCUGCUCCAAAGCCCCUUCUGCAAAAUAGGCUGCAACAGCUGAGCCUGCUCCAGCCUGCUGCUGUGGCUGCCCUUAUGUAAAGCAUUCUCACCUGGGUGACACAGGGCUUUUUGCUGCGACCGGUCAGAUGAGUGAGCAAGGGUUACUCCCAUGAGCAAGGGUUGUGGCAUUAGGAGCCUAACCACGCUGCUCUGCCGUUAAUGACGCUUCUCAUGGCAGAAGCUGGGAUCUUGUUGGUUUUGCUUUCGCAUGUAGUCAUCUUGCAGAGAGGAUUUCAACACUGAUGAAUAUUGCCAGUCAGGUCCUUGGUAUGAAUCAUCCUGUCCUUCCAGAUGACUUUUUCUUUCUGCUGUUUACAUCAGCUGCAGAGAAUUUUGAUACUUUCUUGUGUAUGUGAGUAAAGGAAUGUUUCAUUUGAGAAGAUAUUUCCAAACUCGAUGAAGUCAUCCCUCUAUAUCAUUCCUUUUGUUGUUGCUGUUCUUGUUUUGAGCGUGGGCAGUUAGCGAGUUGUUUCUAAGGAGUUACUGACUGAGCGCUGAACAAAGGGCAAAAAAGAAAGGCAGAGAGAAGGGUUCAUGGACGAAUACCACUGGACUGUGCCAGGAAGUUUGCUCUGCAGCAUAGAUCAGCCUGCUGUUUUCCUUGUCUAGAUGAUGAGGUUGUUGGAUGAACAGGGGAUUUGGGAGUUGAGUUUUCAGCACUGGGAAGGUGUGCAUGCGAGCAGGCCAGCAGCCCCUGCCUGCUUUUACACAGGACCCUCAAGAGUGCAAUAGUGUCAGGACGCCGUGACUUAUGGACAAAUGGGAGAAGCUACAGGUUGAGUUGGGGCUGGGGAAGGGUUAAAACAUGCAAACGGUGGUGGAGAGCUGCCCAGCAGCCCGCCAGCUGCUAUGUGAGGAGGUGAGCUCUCCUGCUGGCACUCUGCCGCUGUAGCUCCAAGAAAAAAAAUCUAUACCUCGAUCUCAAGAACAGUCACUUUUUAUUUUUUAUUUUUUUUUCAUGAUCAUCACCAUUUGGCUGCUUUAUUUUCAUCCAUCUUUUGUAGCUGUAGCCACCACAACUCCAUUCCUAUGGCCGUCUCCCAAAUGACUGAAGACCUCUGGCUUCUCUGGAUGCUCUUUCUCAGGUUCUGUUGUCCUGCGGUGUUUCUUCCAAAGUACCUGACAAACCCUGGAAAUGGCACUGGGUGCUUGAGUCCAGGUGAACAAUACAGAGUGAGGAAAGGAAUGCUCAUUGGCAUGACUUCCAGCCUCAGACUUGUAGUGAAGCCACAGUGCGGUGUUGGGAGCUGAGCACAUCCACCUUUGGUAUCUGCCCAGAAAAUGGUCUGGCUCCAUGGAUGUAUUCACUGGGAAUAGCUGUAUAAGCUGGAAUACAGUCAAAGAUACAUGGCAGAGAAACCUGCCCUGUGAAUAAAGCCUUUGUUAAGAGGCAUUCCAUCUGUACAUGAUUUCAUCAGCUCCAUGAAAUGUGCAGGACAUUUAUAUGGUGAAUUAGGCACAGCUCCUGUUUUGAGAGAGAAAAUGCUUCUGUGUGCUUUUCCACCGAAGUCUGUUGCGACACGAAGAGGGGAGGAAACCUUCUGCAAUGCUGUUACUGUUCUCAGCCACAGGACAGGGCAAGCAUUGGGACCGUGCUAACAUGGCUAUAAAAAUAACGUGCAUGUAAAAAGCAUCAAAUGCACAAAAAAAUUGGCAUCGCCCUCUUCUUUGCCUUCUCUCCCUUAAAUGUGGAGAUACUUAAAACAGUGUAAAUAACAUUCAAGACAGCUAAAGAGCAGUCCACAGUGCUGAAACACUCCUGCCGUCCAAAGCAGCUCCAUGCCAGCUAUUUCAUUUACCAUAUGUUUGGUGUGGUUUUGGCAGAGUCAACAUGAGGAUUUUUGGGCAGGCCUGCAAAACAGUUUUUCCCUUCCUCCACCCAAACGUGACCCAGUCCUGUCUGCCAUGAUCACGCCAUUGCACAGGGUCAGCCUGGCUGUUUUGGGCAGAAUUAGUCAGAGGGGCAUUGGAAAGAUGCCCAAGGAGGGCUGAUUCAUUUUCCAUAUAAGUGGUUGCAUUAUGGAGCAGGAAGGAGAAGGAAGACGCAAUGUUUGGGAUGGAGAUGCUGGGUAAUGCUGAAGGACCACACAGGGAUUAUAGGAUUCCUUCUCCAGGUCCAAGGCAGGUGUGGUUGGGAUGCACUGGCUGUGGGGGCAAGCUGCCAGCCCCAUGGCACUGUUUUCAGCCAUCCUGCAGGAACUGCCAGAGGCUGUGAACCAGUGACUGGAAACGUGGAGCUUUGCUCCUGGGGUCGUCUGGUUUCAGAUGUGGAGAACACGGGCUCCAGGCAGCCCAGUCCAGCAGAGAACUGCCUGAGCUGUGAGCAGACUCUCCGGGGUGGGGCUUAAUUUUCCUUAAAAAUGAGUGGGAUGCAGUGCCCAGACAUACAGUCCAGUUGGUGCCAUCCAGCUAGGGCCUGGGACUUGUCUAGCCGAACAAGGGAAGAAGAAAAGGGAAUUUAAACACACCGCUCUGCCCUUUUCUAAGAAAGUGCUGGAAGGUGUGAAGGUACAGCUGUGUCAUUCCUUCCUGCUGUGUGCUCCUAGCAUGCAUUCCCAGCAGUAGUUCACAGAAGCGAGCCUUGUUCCCCCAGCAGAGGAGCUUCGCCACAGGGUGCUGGGGUAUCUGCUCAGUAGACUUGCUGACCUCAGGGAGCAGCUUUGCCAGGCGAGCCCUCCAAGCAAGAGCCAAAACCCCUGGUUAGCACUGAGCCUGCGAUCUCUCCCUCACUUUCGGUGGAUUAAUUGCUAGAAAGGUUGUGCAGCUGCAUGGCAGCCCAGCACCCCAUCUGGUUGGCCGUACCUCUGCAUUUCUGUUCUCUGAAACAGUGUUUCUGACCUGAUUCACCCUGCAACCGGAGGGUGGAAUUCAGCUUCAUGUCCAUGGCAAGGGAAUGUAAAUAUUCAUGCCUAUAGUCUUUGCAAGUGCACUACCCAAGUGUGCACGUGAGCAAGCAAGAAAGCAGUUUCCAGCGAGGAGGCAGGAGCAGGGCUCUCCAGCCUACCUCCAACUGCUUCCGCUCUCCCCAAAGCUGUUCAGGGGGGCAGGAGCUCCCGAGGAUGGUCUGGCCUCAGUCUGAGUGGGGCAAAUCGGGGUGAGUCAGCCAGAAGAGCCAAGGCUCGCUGGGCACGAGCCCCUCUUCCCAGAGUUGGCCUUUAAUCCAAGUUGGCUGCAUGCUGCCUGCUCUCAGCAGCCCUUUUGUGCCUCCACGGGUGUUUGCUGGUGCAGGGCUGAGUGACUCAGCCUGCGCCCCUACCCUGAGCGCUGGAGAGCUGGGAGGGGCUGCAGAGUGCCUGGCUGCAGGUCUCGUCCUUCCCUUUUCUCAUUUCAGCAAAACCGUUGCAGAUUUCACGGAGCUUUCCAUCACAGGCAAACAAAGAGGAAAUUGAUUCAGAGCGAGAGCAUUAACAUCACCAAAUAGUAAAGGCAUUGCCUAAUGCUAUCAAGCAAGCUUCCUCUACUGCAGAAGCAGAGGUGGGCAGAGUGAAGCUAAAGAAGUAAGGGGACAGUGGCUGGGUGAGGGCAGGGGUCCUUGGCGAAGAAAACCCAGAGGAUAAAAGGCAAAAAGAACAAAGGGAGAGGUGUUGGGGAAAUAUGACUGAGCAGAUGCAGUACUUAUCUGCUUAUGCAUCACAUAAAAUUCCUAUGUGUAAACAGAAAGCAAUGAGUAACAUCAAGUGAAGGGCCAACCUGUGGGAAGGAGUUGUGCUGGUGUAAUAAAAGGGCCGGUGUUAAACCAUUUCAGUUAGAGCCCUGCACACGUGGGCUGCUGAUGGAAGAAAAAGGCCUGGCUUUAUGGCUUCCAAGGAUAGCAAACACUGGGGCUUCCUGGUGCAAAGUGCUGAUCCGUAUGAUAGUAAACUUCCAUUUGUUCAAACCUCGGUGACGAGUCAGCACUGUACUGGCUGCCUUUAUGUAGGAUAAGGCAAGGUCUGUCUCCCAACAGGUGGUUUAAUGCCAGCAAAACGACAACAACAACAAAACAUCUAGAGCCAGAAUAAGCACAUGGUACAUCAUUCUGGCUCUUCCAGAUGUAUGAAAUGUACAAAAAUGUAACUGGGAAUUCACAAAUAAUCCUGAUUAGUCUUAUCCUGGGUACUGCCACUGUCUAAUUUCAUUUACAUCAAGACUAUUUUAGUCUAAUCGGCUAUUAAGAUAUAUGUCAAUGCAAAAGUUUCUAGCUCUUCAGCACCAGUGUAACUCAUUUUCCAGAGCAAUGCAAAUACCAAGAGGAAUGGUUCCCACCAGCGCUGGAGCGCUGACACACUCACUUGACAAGCACCUGCCCUGGCCUCAGGCACUUCAGACUGGCCUUUGAUCACCAGAGAUCAAGAGUAUUUCCACCCAUACAAGGUAAGUCUGUUGGUUGCACGGACAGCUCAGAGGAAAUGGAGCUCCUGUGAAGACCUGAUUUUGGGCGCAUCAGUUCUUGUACAAGGAUUUCAAGUGUUAGAGGAGUGUCUGGAUUUUAAAUGUCUCGUGUGCAGCACACUGCUCCAAAAAACUCUCUACGUUAGGCUAGUCCUCAGGCUUGAAUAUUCAUGAAGGUAUUUUCCUACAUGAGCAACAUGUCCUAUCUCAUGUCUUAUGCCUGCCUCGAAUUUAAAGUGUGUGAGUGCAGCUAAGCCUCAUGUCAGGUCACCUGCAACUACAGAUAACCGCAGAUAAGUGCUAUGGGUAAUGCUGCUCUGCUGGGAUGAGCUCAGCUCAGAAGUGGUUUCCAGCACUUCUUUCCCUUAAGCAAUGAGCUGAUCUGGGCUGAACGCUAUUGCCAUCCUAAGAUACAGGGAUGAAGGCUGGCCUGCCAGAUGUGCUGGUACCUUUGCAAUGCCCCUAGAGGUAUGGUUGUCCUGGAGCUGCCAUGGCAGUGGGGCUGAGCUUGUGUUGGACACUGCCGAAACUGUGACUGCUGUAACCAGUCUAUGUCUCUGAGGAUGUGAGGGACAGUGAGCAUUAGCCUGUGUCUGUGAGUAGAUCUGCCUCUUAUUCCUGAAACACUGGUGCAGUGCUCUCCCUCUCAAAGCCCCUCUUACAAACCUCUCCAUCACAUUUCUACUCUUUGCAGGCAUUGUCAUCAUUAGCAAGCCUUUGCUGUCCGGGGCUGUGUCUGCACUGAGGACUGUCUUUCAGGGAUGUAUAAGGAAACCUGAGGCUUUCUGAAAGCAUUCUUGCCCUUUCCCAUCCCUGUGAAGUCGGUUAUCAGUUCAGCAAAUUCUUACAUACAGAAAAUGCAUUUGCCUACAGCAGAGGAGGUAAGAAAACACUAAUGGUGAGCAAACUGACCUGAGGGGGAACAUUUCCAGUUCUUCUGUGGUGUUUUCCCUGCUCAUUAAAGCCCCUCCUCGGGCCUAGGGCUGUGUUUGAUGGCAGAUGAUAACAACUCCAGAAGUGUGUCCCAUUGCCCAAAGGCUGCUGCUGUGGGCUCCUCUCUGCACAGCACAGGCAAUAUCCCAGCUUCCAAUAAGGAAGAGGCUACCCUUGUGUUUCAACAUGAUCCAUCUCUGGUGGAGAAACCAGGCUUCCUUCUGCUGAGCUCCCCCUCUGUGGCCUUUUCCGUAGUUUUGCACGAGCUCAAAGGCAUUGCAACAAAAGCAGUGGGGAGAAGUCGCAGUGUGGAUUUGUCAUAUACCAAAACCCACAUUUCUUCUGUAUCUCUCCAGCUUCUCAGGAAACUGGCUGGAAAGAGACCAAGUUGAACAUAAUCUUAUCUUUCAGCCUAGUUAUUUUAAGCCCAAACGGGUUCCUUGAUCCCUUCCAACUGAAAACACCCCUUGGGAUAGUAGCAGCACAUUGAGCAGCCGGCGUGGGCACAGGAGAUCAGUGCUUUUCUGGCUAGAGCCACCUUUGGUGAUGCCAUCUCCCCACACAGAGGACAGAGCGGUUGCUGCUGUGGCGCUGCCUGCAUCGGUUGGACUUUGGUUGCCAGGGCAUCGUAAAAUGACUCAACGGGGAUCAGAAAGUGGUAGGAUCAAACAAAAGUCACUCUGAAGCUGCUGUCGGUUGGCAAAAGAAUAAUUUAAAAUUAAACCAGUUCUGAAACUAUCUACCGCAAGCGGUUACAAGCCUCAGUGUUGUAAAACUGGGCUGUUUCCUCUUUUCCUCGCAACGAUGAUGCCCUUGAUUCCUCCUUAGGCUUCUUUGGCAAUUCUUGCAUGGUAAUAAAAAGGCAUGACACAGCAUAUGUUUUGUGGCUCACCUUGCCAAACAAAAUUACAACGUUAGUGUAGCUUCUUCGCCUUUGCAUAAUUAACUCUACAAAGGAGAGAGGGUAAGCAUCUGUGCCAAGACAGAAGCAAAAACAAGAAGUACGGAAGUCUGUUUUAAAGUCAUCUCUGUUCAAAGCAAUUCUUUUAAAAAUGACUUAUCUUGAAACUGUUGCAGACAAUUAGGGAAAGUCAUACAGUUUCUAAAUGUCUGUUAUGUUUUACGUCUGCAGCUACAUUGCUAAGAUGCAAAAAAAAAAGAAGUCGAUGCCUCUUUGAGAGCUCAUGAAAGCUGUGCUGGAGUGCAUCUUCUGCGCAACACGUGCUGGGGCCAGGAGGAUGCAGGCUGCCCAGGAGUGCUCAGUGCCCACUCUUCAGGCUCAGCUGGCAUCAUUCUCAUGUUUAAUAGCUUUCAGGACAGUCUCUGUGUUGCGCUGAACCACACAGUUGCCACAAGGGGAAUUUAGUGCAGGUGGAGGGGUAAGUGGGGUGAGAGGUGGGCCUGGUCCUGCUGCCUAUCCCACUGCCUUACUGUCAUCCUUGUUACCUAAACUAGUGUUAAUAGCUGAAUUAGGAUUCAAGCAGCCUGAGUAGUUCUAAUAUAGAGCAUUAAAGAGCAAAUCCUUUUUCCACUGAUGCCAAAGACAAGACUCCCAGGAAAAGGUCUGGCCCCUAGUUUCUGGCAAGUCCCCAGGCAGUCCAACUAAGUCAAGAAAAAAAGAAUAAGGGGAAAAAAAGAGAAGAGAAGAAGAGAAGAGAAGAGAAGAGAAGAGAAGAGAAGAGAAGAGAAGAGAAGAGAAGAGAAGAGAAGAGAAGAGAAGAGAAGAGAAGAGAAAAAGGAAGAAAAGGGAGGCGAAAUUAAAAGAAAAAGGGGAAAAUAGAAAAGAAAGAGAUGAGGAACACUUUACAACUAACUAUGGCAGCUGGCAGCAGGUCAUCCAGAUGGAGCAGGGAUCCUGCAUGCCUGCUCAGUCUCCCUUGCUUUAGGCAGCCUCCAGACGUGAAACCUUGUCACGCUCUGCUAUCAUAUCCAGUGCAACGCCCCACUGUGCACAGUGUUGUUCAGUCACAAAGAUGGUGUCUGUCUGCCCAAAGUUCUCACAGAGACCUUUGCACAAUGUCACUGCAGUCAAAACUUGUUUAUUAAAUGCUCACUUAGCAGAAAUGAGGUCAAAUCAUUUAAUGGCUAUUAAGAUGUUAAUGCAUUAAACACUAAAAUAUCACCUGUUUAUCUUAACCCUCAUUUACCUAAAUCACCUUAGCAUUCAUUGUGAUGACUGAGAUUUGACAGUGUUUGCUAAUUAUGUAAGAGUUGAGCUAGCACCAGUUGGUCUUACUGCUGCACCCAAGCACCUUGGUAACAAACAUUAUCAUCCACAGCAAACUGGAGCUAUUCCUAAAUAAUGAUGAUGAGAAAUUCCCAAAUACAGUAGAAAAAAGUCAAUGCCCGAAGAACAGCAAGAGGAGGGCUCUGCCUGGAAGGAAUCAUGACUGAAGCUGUGAAGUGUCAUCCAAAAUCACUGAUCCCUAUUGCUAAGCCAACCUAUGUUGAUAGCACCAUUCUGUGGCUGACCCAUCUGGCACAAAAGAGUCGCACAAAACCCUCCCAUUCAAUGUGGAGGCUUAAUGUCCAAGGUACACUUCAAAACACCUUCAUUCCCGUGCCACCGCCCCGUGGUCCCCACACCCUUGGAGUCUGAGGGAACAUCUCCAUGGCCCAAGCCCUGGUGCAGCAAGCUGGGGUGCCUCCAGGCAUCAGCAUCCCUCUCAGAGUUGGCACCGUUCAUGUCAUGGUGGUGCGUGCUCAGCAGCUGUAGCACUGAGUUCUGCUGCAGGGCUGAGCCCAGCUCUUUCUGCCCAUGGAGAUGAAUGCACGGUUGGCUCCCGAGCUGCAACUAAUAGAUUAAAGCUCCCAAUAAAUCAAGAGUUUUGCAAAAGCGUGAAUGACUGAUUUCACAAGGUGAUUAGAAUUAUCAAGGGAAAACAUUUGAAGUGCUCAAUAAUUUACACUAACCACCUGUACUUUUAAAAUAACUUUCCCCAUUCCCCUCCCUUAACUUUAAGGGAUUCUUGCCAUGUUCUUCAAGCCAUUUCCUUCCUUCCCUUCAGCUCUGAUUGCUGCGGAACACUCUUAAUAAAGAACGUACCGUAUCACUGGAGAUUGUUCUGGGGAUGAAAAAUGCAAUGUGAUUUAUUAUAACAUGGCCUAUGCAGGCAGCUGAUCUUAGCCUGCACUCUGCAUCCUUCCAAAAUCAAAACAAUUUGCAAUGUAAUAUUGUGAAAUUGGGUUUGUAUUCCAGUUUGCAUUUUAUGAUUCUUAUCCUUAAGAAAGCAUUUCCAAAUGCAUUUUCAGUUAGUUAGGUUUUUCCAUGCCUGCUUUUCGCUUUCAACAGUGCUAGCAAAGUCAUGCAUGGUUUGAAAGGUUUUACGCGUAAAUUUGGAACUCGUAUCACACCCUACUGAGCAGUGGGGACUGUUCAUUUAUUUGUUUAUUAAGUAGGAGUUAUUUUCUCUCCAGCAUGCUAUAAAGCCAGCUCUUUGACCUCAUUCCUCAACACGGACAAGAACUGAAUUCCUGGAAUAAAGAAAAAAAAUGGAGAAAAUGCACUCCCAUUUUGACAAAAAUAACUGAAGAGAUCCUUCCAACUCAAAAAAGCCUUCAGGAAAAAAUGUGGGACAUAUCCUUCACAGGUUGUCAACCUUCCAUUGGAAGCAGAAGAUCCAUGACAAUUCAUGCCACAGAGGUUUGCUGCCAGGUGGCGGAGGACAAAGUUCACUCUGGAGUGGUUUGCUAGCAGGGCAGUUGCGCAGUGGGUGGAAGUGCCCAGAUGGGAGGCAGGGAGAAGAUGGAAGGCAGAGAACUGAGGUGUGCAGAGGUGACUGGGAGGACACAUCACAGCCCCAUCUCUGAGAAGGGCCAGGAUGAUAGCUUAGGAAAACGCAGACACGAAGGGCAGUUGGGCAGUGGUACAGUCCCAGCUAAAUCCCUAGUUGUAAAGAGCCCGAAGGACUUUUUAUGCAGGAAUUUGCCUAACCACAUUUUAAGUCUGGUUAUACAUUGACAAGAAAAAAUGACCCACGGUGAGGCGUUCACACAGCCUGCUCUUUCACUUUGAUAGCCCCAGGCUUCUGCACCAUGAGAAGCAGUGGGUUAACAUGCCACCUGCACCCUGACUGUGCCACCUGGGACAGAUCUCAGGGCUGCCUGAGUUUAUUUUUAUUUUCCAAUAUUUCAACUAAAGAAAAUACCCACUAGCUGAUCUAUGAUAGAAAAGUAAAAUAAGUAUCGUACGUGUGCUCAACACAAAUAACUUACUUGAGAAACCCCUCAUACACCUCUGCUUUAUUGUUUUAUUUUCCAGUGGUGGUUUAUGGUGUUGUGAUGAAGCCAGAGGUUUGACACAAAGAGGUAGUCUUUACCCAGAUACUAAUAUUCAGUAGGUCAUCUUGUGAAAACAUACUGGAAUAGAAAUGAAGAGGGAAGGGGCUAGGAAGGGAAAAAGGAAGGAAAAGCUGGACAGUUCAGGGAGCAAAGAAAAUAGCCACAGUGCCACUAGACAGAGAAAUAGAAUGCAAAUAGUGGGGUGAAGACCCACUUUGUAGAGGGACUCCCAUUCAUGAUUAUAUGGUAGAUAAAAGUUCAGUGAAACAGAAGCACACCAGCUGCAUUCACCUGGAGACUGUUGGCACCAUGUUGUUGACUGCAGCUUCUCUUGCAGAUGCAAACAUGAUCUCUGCUGUUGUGACACAAGCUGGGGUGAGCUGUCCUUCCAGCUCCUUCUGCAAAAGUGCCAAGAGCAUGACAAGUGGGGUCCAACAUACUGGUUUUGGCCAGCUCUCCCCAAAGCCAACAGGAGCCUUGAGUCAGGCCACAGGUAGGCGCAGGGCUUUGAGCAAGCUUAAAAAAAUAAAUAAUUACCCAUCCCUGUCCUCAUGGGGAUGCCUCUCAGAUCUUCCUGCAGCUUUCUUCACAGCUUGUUUGGAGCAUUAUGUAGUCUGACCCAAAUUCCAAGAGCACCAUCAGGACAGUUCUCCAGCUGAUGCCGUGGAUGCUCAGUUAGACUACGACACUACCACAGCAGCUUGUAAAUUUGUUUUUCUUCUUUUCGUAGAGCUUCCAAUGACUCAAAGAGCAAUCAUUGGAUGAUAUAUCAAACUCCAACUGCUAGAUAAAGAAGAGAAAUCGGAGUGUCUGCAAGGAUACCAGCUAUUGUUGUAUCAUCAUAGCUCUUCUGUAACAUUUUCUUCUCAUGAGGUGAUAUGAAGUGCAUGGAGAGGAGUAAGUUAUAAAGUUGUACUAAUGUGAUUGUUUGGGAUGUUAAAACAAAGUCAACAAUUCCUUUACAAACCAUCCCAGCUUCUGGGCAGAUAUCCCUGGAAGCUUCAGGAGUCCUCUUUGAUCCUGGCUGCCCCAUAAAGAAACAUCGUUUAUACUGAAUUAAUUAGCUGCCACUUAACCCUGGCGCCAAGAGUUGAUGUCAUGAGGCAAAACAAAAUGGAGCUAAUGAAAUCAAUAACAUCAUUAAAAUAACUCACAGCAGAGUUACUGACUGCCGUGCCGACUGUGCUUAUGGACCAAUUGCUCAGCACGUAAAGGGACUUCUGCAAGAACAUGUUCAAGCUAUGAAUGGCAGCCAGCAGCCAACUUGACAUCACUCUGCUCAGGUGAGCUUUUCCAGGACUGCACAGGGAGGUUGCAUGGGCACAGCCUUGGCCUGGAAGUGUCAGAUUGGUUUGGACAGAUGGCAGUAAGGAGUAGAGGGCAAGGUGCUCCCAAAGCAAAUUUCUGAGUGGGAGUUUUAAGCAGGAAGGUACAUUUAGGUAGAGCUUUUCUACUAUUAAUGAAGCUAGAGUAAGACAUUACUAGGAACAAUGCACACCAUGCACAGGAACAAGCUGACCUGGAAAGAUUAAUCUGUCCCUGAAGGCCUGAAGCAUCUUGGUUGGCUGCUGAGAAGCUGAAGCCCUGAUCAACAGUGCUUAAAGAGCAUGGACCACAGUGAGCUCUGGCUCAGUGAGAACUUCUUGAUGCUGUGCUUGCAGGCCUGAGCCCCCAUCAUUGGAAACACACUGUAAUGUCAAUGCUUAAUUGAAUGAAAGAUCUAACUGCAUGCUUCUUACACAGAAUUUCCAAAUGUUUGCAAAGUCUAAGCCCCCUCACUGUGCAAAGAUAUAAUAGAUACUGUCAAAAAGUCUUAAGACAGACAAACAGCAAUGGUAAGUCUUUCACUGUUCAAGUUUUACACAAUGUUUUCACCACUGUUAUCCGGCUCUCCUGUAUUUAAUGACAAGUUCAUAGGCGGGGGCAGGUAAUUGUGAACAUUAAUAUUAAUUUUUCCUGACACAACUAAGUGCUAAAUAUGCAGAAGCAUAUCUAUUUAGCUCUGUGCUGGUGCUCUUUCUGUGCUCUUCCCUGAACUGACUGCUGCUAUCAUCUCUUUAAGUUAGCUCCUUCCUGACUAGAUGCUCUGCAGUAUUUGAUUCUGACUUAUACAGGAAACUUGGGUCUGCAGGCAAAGGUGAAAGGCAGCUGGGGUGAGAGUGACCUUCAAGUGGCAAAUCUGAGGCAGAAAGGACAUUUGAAGAGUUAACAGUGCUGUAAGGAAGUUGUGUGGAAGGCACAAUCACAGAAGAAAUAGUAAAGAACUGCUUGUGAACUGCUUGGUAGCAGGGCAACUUAGCACAAGCCCUACAGGAGGCCCACAAGGUACAAAGUGAUUAAAUCAUGAGCUCUUCAUUAGUUUCAGAUGUGCAGUGGAAGCAGACAGAAAGUCAAACUAGGUCAUGUUACUAAGAGGAGGAAUGAAAUGAAAAAGAUAUAGGUGAUGCAACGAGCAGUGGGCGUGAAGUUUAUGCACUUGAAGUAAAAGGAGGGCCAGAGAAAGACCUGAGUUUCACAAGGAGGAGUUACUCAGUGACGAUACCAAAGACCUAAAUGGUUGUUACUUUCUUCCUUUGGUCUACUCAAAGGUGCCCAAGGAGUCAGAGAGCAAGCAGCUUAAUUUCAAUUCCUGGAAAAUGCUGGAAGUGGAAAUUGGUUAAGCUCUUUUCCAGCACCUAGAUGACAGCAAGCAGAUGAGGAACAGCAAGCACUGAUUUGACAAAAACAAAUCACAUCCAAUCAAUCUAAUUUCCUUCUGUAGUAGGCCUUAGAUCUUGAUUUUAGUAAAGCUUUUGCCAUUGUCUCACCUGACACUUUCAUAAACUAAGUAAAGAAACAUGGUUUAGAAGAAACUGCUAUUAGAGGAGUGUACAGCUGGUUGGAAAACCAGACUAAAAGCAGUUAUAAAUGCUUCACUGUCAAACUGGCGGUACGUAUCAAAUGAAGUCUGAAGCCAUCUGUUUUGUGUCUGGCAGUGUACGGUAUUUUCAUUAAUAUCUUUGAAGAAAUGAGAGUAGGGAACACUUAUUAAAUUAGCACAGGACACCAUGGAGAACAAGCGCUUUGGAGAAACAGGAUGAGAAUGCAAAACAAUCUUGACAAAUUGGAGGAAUGCUGGGGAAAACAAACGCCAUUGAGCAGGGACAAAGCAGAGCUCUGCAGUUGCGUAGGCGUCAUCAAGUACUAAAAGACGGCUGGGAAACAACCGGCACAGCAGCAGUUCUGCAGAAGAUCUAGGGAUGACAGCUCAACAUGAAUGAGCACGGUCAUGCUGCAGUAAAAAAUGAAAGUGCUGUAAUGAGGUGUACAAACAGAAGUUCAAUCUGCAAGAAACAGGAAAUAAUUCUUUCCCGCUUGUCUAUGCUGUGAAGACUUCAUUUGAACUGUGCAGGUUCGGCCACUGCAGUUCAGGACAGUUUCAGGACUGGAUAAGCUUGAGGAUUCAACUCAGCCUGCAGCCGAACACCUCAAACAUGGGAGGCCAUUCCACACUGAGGACAACUGAACCAAACAGAGUAAUCGUAUCUUUAGUUAAUGAAACAGCUUCGGUUAGAAAAAGAGGGUGAUAGGAAGGCAUAAAACCAGCAUGAAUUGAUUCAGCUUAAUAAAAUGAGCUGGUUUUAUUAUUUGCUUGCAGCCUACUUCGUAUUAUUCCCCUGGCAGAAGUGACAUCUCAUCACAAGCUUUUGGGAAUCUGUUGUUAAGGGUUUCCUCUUGCAGCUUACAGAGCAAUACCAUAGCUAUGCAAAAUUUCUACAAACUCACACUUUCUCCUCUCUUACCUUGAUGGUAACCUCCUCUCUAAUCUCCUGGUCUGUCAAAUGCUUCCUGUUGGCUGCUGUAGACAUCCUUGCUUGUGCCUCGAUGCAUCUUUUAGCUGUGACAGCCACAACACAACUCCCUGCCUUCCCUCAGGUGCCUAGAAAUGCAGCUCUGUCAUCUUCCUGUUCACGUUUAGCCUGCCCCCUGAAGUCCUCCAGGCUUUUAUUAUCAUGCAGGUUUGUGUUCCUCUCUACUCAUUAACCUCUUUUCCUCUAGCCUUGUCUCUUCUCUUUGCCACAUUAGACUUCUGCACUUCAUCACAUCAAGUCUGCAGCAGAUGUUUCCCUGGCUGCCCACAGACCUCGCACUCAGUGCAAGAAAGGGAAACUCCAUCUCAGUUGAAGUGAAACACAAAGAGGGAACUCUGGUAGUCCUCAGCAAUCCCAUCUGAAUCCUAUCUCAAGUCCAGAGGUAUUUCCUUUCUCUUUUCAUGAGAUUCAUUCACUUCUCCUUUCUCAUGACCCAGUCUCCUACUUGUACAGCAGAACUGAUGGCUCAGAUGGUGCCUUCUGACCUUAAAUGCCUGAAGGUUAACUAAGAAUGGGGGCUCGUGGCACAAGUAAGAGCACAGCAUGUUUUUAAAGAAACGCCUUGGAUAUGUUCAUACACUGCCAUAAAACGUAGCAGCUUGGCUUUGUUCAUUUGUUUUACCACUUGUUGUCUUCUUGCUAACUCUGUACUUCUCUGAAGUGAAGUUCAUCAGUGCACUGACACAGCGACGUAGUUAUGUAUGCCAGGCACAUAAAACACUGCCUAGCCGUAUUUUUGUUAGAAGAGAUGUCACACGUGUACCACAUGUUAGUGUGGCUGACUGUGUCUCCCUGGAGCUGGGUUUCCUCACAUCAGCAGGGAACUGGGCUGGUAGUGGGCCUGGACCAGUAGAUAUGCAGGGACAUGGACGAGGAGCAUUUUGUAAGGUUGAUCUCCCAGGGGGGAUUAUAAUCCAAUUCAUUAUACAGCAACUGGGAGUCCCCUGUGCAUCUCUAUGUCUGUAGAGGUGGAUGUAGAUGCAAGUUGCAGCUUGGAGCAGAAGCACGUGAAGGUGAGGGUAGAUCUCAUCAGUGUGUGGGGAUGAUACUUGUCUCUAACUGCACACAAAGGACAUUUCAUCUUUCCUCCCAGCUCAUCCACUUCCCCUCCCAUAAAGGACAUAAAAAGAAACCAAACAAGAAGAGCAGCCAGUAGAAACUAUCACAUGUUUGGGGAAAGCUCGCAGGACAAAUAUUUCAAACCAGAACUGCCUGAGAUGACCUUAUAAGCAAAAUAGACAACACCUACGUAUUGCGAUGGAAAUGACAAAGCAGGGAAAUUGUUGCAAACGCAGCACAAAUGGACACUAGCUGCAGAUUACACAGAUUAGGAGAGCAUUACAAAUUGUACAAAGGAAACGCUCAAUUUUUCUUUUCAGUAUUAAUAAAAGACACCUGAAAUCAGCAGUACCAAUGAUUCCCUUUGUGAAUCUCAGGCAAUAUGUUGGACAGCCACAUGUUUCUCGCUGGCAUCAAGCAGCCUUGCUUUUACUGCAAGAGAAGUAAGAAAUUCCACCAACGUCAGGGGCACCACGCAGCCGUCUCUCUGUACUCAUUCCUGAAAUGAUCUGAAAUCUAACAGAAGGCAUUUUAUUGACAGCUAUCGUGCCUAUUAGCUUUCAUAUGUUUUCAGGACUUCUCAGAAGGAGCUGGUUCAGGACCUCUUCCAGAGGGACCUGUUCAUCAGCCCACCCCAAGUGACCAUUGGAGGCUGUGCAGUGAUGCUCACUUCCAGGGCUGUAGUCCCCUGGGCAUGAGGCUACUUAUGGCCUAGAGCUUGGGCAGGAAAGCCAGGACAGGCAACCAGGAGGCAGCUCAUAGGCUGGCAGCCUCCACAGCUGCUUGUGCUGCUUGGGGCCUCGUGACUGUCUGUGUGCCAUCCUCAAGCGAGAGUCUGGAGAGUGGGGCGAUGCACCCUGUGGUAAUUUCUGCAGUGUUGCAGGCCAGGAAGCACCAGCAGAAGAGAUGUUAUGACAGUGCAAACAGUUACCUCCGCUGCAGGCAUGAUAGGAAGUGACAAUGCAAACAGAAAUGUAACCUGUCAAGGCCACAGCUACAUGCUUGGGUAGACGAGCUUGUCGUUUAACCAAGAGCAGUGCCACAGCUCCCUGCUUCCCAGUGCUUGAAGGCAUCUGCACACAAGAAAGCCACCCCAAAGCUCCGACCUUUCCAUAUGAGUAAGGCUAAAGGACAAUGCUUCUGCUUCCUGGCAUCAGUCUGUGUGUGUGCGUGUCAGCACUAAUUACAGCCAGCAGGAUGGUGAUUUUCAGAUGUAAAAGCUUUCAAUGCCAGCACGGGCCUUGCAGUGCUGCAGUGGAAAAUAUUAAGAGAGGAUUACCAGAAGGCCCAGAAGAAAUAAAUCACAGCGAAAGGAAAUUAUACUGAGGAGCACAAUGUUUGACUUACAACUGUUGUGGUCUGAAACAUAAAUCCACACGGUACCGAGUGUCUGGAAAACUGAACACCAACUGUAAUGAAAGUAAUCAUUUUGCUAAAGUAUUCUUUACAAAGGGCAACACUUAAAGACAUGUGUUGAUUAAGGUAAAAAUCUAUGGAUGCUGGCCCAGCUCUGGAAGGGCUUCUAAGAUGAGUGCUAGCUCUGUGCACACGAAUGUGGUGUUUGAGGUGGCAAGCCCUGCCAGGGUGAAAUCCCAUGUACCUCUGCCUUUGGAGAGAAGAGGAAAAUGUGCCUUGCUUCUGCUGUGAGACUGACGGAUAAGGAAGUGCUAAGCUUCAUCCUCCCUUCUGCAUGCUGCUGGGGCAUGCAGAUGACAGCAGAGCCAGCCAGAAGGUGCAAAUAUCUGAAGCAGAAGGCGGUGGAUUAGAGAUGGUUUUGGAGGCCACUGGGGAGACAAGAAGUGGAAAAUGAAGAAAACAGAAACCAAGUCUGAAGAAAUAACAAAUUCCAGAAAAUGAGAGAAAAAAUCAGGGGAUGAAAAGAAGAUGGAGGAAGGAAGGAAAGAGAUAUCUAGAAAAAGAAGCAUGGAAAGGGUCAAGUCGGAAGCAGCUGAAAGCAGAAACUUCAAAGAAAAAGGCAAUUUAUAUUCAGACUCUUUGGAAACCCUUGUUAUCUAUGACCAACAGGGUCCUGGUACUUACUAGGUAUAGACAUAAAAGGGUUGUAGAAGAGUAAGACAAUGGUUUAAACAUGUACAAGCCAGAGGAAAGGAAAACUCAGCUCCUGAAAGGAAGGGAAAAGAAAGCAAGGGAGGGUCAUUUUAAAAUUGGCUGAAUUAUCUUUUAAUGUUUGGUAAAGCUACACUCUACAGAUGCUAGAAAUUUAAGAGGCACAAAAACUGGAAUAGUAUAAAAUCCUGUGGACAUGGAGAGCAUUUUGAAGGCAGGAGAUAUAGCUUGUGAGACAGGCACCCCAUGUCCCAGGUGGUGACUGCAACCACCUCUUCUGAAGCCAGGCCUGCUCAAGUAUGGCCAGCAGAGCACCCAUGAGGAGCAUGCAUCUGGCAGGCGGCCAUAAAAAACAGAGGACAUCCUACCAGGGCUGACCAGUACUCAUACAGAAUCAAAGCUGGGAUCUAGCCCCUGCCAAUGCCAAGCCUGAACAGGCCAGCUGUGGCCUGGCAAUAGCAGGGCUGCUCCAACCAUGGCAGUCUGUGAACAGAAGUCUGCCACAGACAUGAGAACCAAGCACCUUGUCCCAUCAUUACAAGGGCAGCAUCCCCAGGUGGCCAGGGAUGGUGGAGGAGGACCUUUGAGCUGGGGUGACACUGAGCUCUUUUGUACUGCAUUCACCCCAUCAGCACUGUGAGAGCAGCUGGUGUGGUUGGGUCCACUUGAAGGCAACCUCCAAAUCAAAUGGAGGCAUAAAGACAACACUGAUGACCAUGAAGUCAAACACCAGACCAAAAUACUCGAGUGGUUCAAAUGCACUGAAGCCAUACAAUGGCUGAGCGAUUGAAAUAGAAAAGGAGUAUGUAUGAGUGUGACCAAAGAAGGUAAAAAAAUUAUUUUGAGUGCUGUUUGUUGCAGACAGAGGAAACUCUCUCUGUUAGGCAACUGAGCUAGUUAACAACACAUACAACAUUACAUGUACCCUAGGAAGGAGUGUGGUCUGGGCAUUGCCACUGUUUAAGAAAGAGCCCUCUCAUGUAUUUCCCAGGAGCCUGAACGGUUACUUCAUGUGUGAGAACGUCAGGCUGUGACCUGCAGGAAAAGAGAGGGCAUGAGGGAGCCAGAUGGCUGAGUGACCCCAGUGCUGUUCCCAGAAGAAGCAGGAGCAGGCAAGGAAAAAUCUGGUGGCUGGAAGGAAAAGUGAGCCCUAGGCAGGUCCCUCCAUGCUCUGGGUCUCUACUGUUCCCUCUCCCACCAGCCCCCUUUUCUCCUCUGAGCCAGCUUCUCAUCAUACCAGACUGCCCAACUCCCACUCCCCCACCAUCUCAUCCACCACAGCUGCAAUUUUCCAACUCCGGUAAGAAACAGAAGUAUCAGCAUAGCAUAUGCAUGUGCUUGCUGAGGGACGGGAGCAGAAACCUUCCCACCUCUUAGUAGUGUCUCCAGCUGCUGCCUUGCUCUGCCUUCCCAAUCUGCCACAUUCUUUAUGUCCCACGUGGCUGCUUUGGCACAGCUCAAGUGAGUGUGGGGAGCAGCAGUGGCCUGUGGUGGCCAUGGUGACUCAUACUGGCUCUCCAGCCAAGACAGACAGGGGAUACCCCAUAAGCAGAUGCUGGUGACCCCAGCAUGUGAGUGCUACUCUGGCCACCACCACUGCCAUGAAGCCUCUAUGUCUGUCUUACACACAGGUACUGUACAUGACUGAUGUAAUGCACAGGGUCUCAUGCAGUGAUGAGUUUUCCCACACAGGCACUCCCCUCCAUCUCUCUACUGAGCAGGAGGCCAGUUUCUAAUGUCUGCCCUUCACUUCAAAUCCUUGGUUUAUGAAACUGGAGGAAAACCCUGAGACAGCAGGUUGAGACUGUCACCAGGGAGAGAGUUAACUCAUUUCCACGGCUGGUAUUCUCCCCACCAGCCCACGCAGCAUCAGAGCAGCUCCGUAAGCCUCAGCAUAGACUCUUGGCCUGUUCUACAGGUGGUGGAAACUUGUAGUAUAUGGUGUAAAAUGCCUACAGGAAGGUGUUUGUGACAGGGCCAAUGGCUAGUGCAUAUACCUGCCCCAAGGCAGGUUCUGUUGUUGUUCCACCACUGCAGAAAUGAUGUAACACUGGUUUUAUUACAGUGCUGGAAUCCGGCAGUGUUUUGCACCUGGAAGGCUGCAUCUGACACCCACCUGUGAGGCAUCAGUCCAUGAAGACUGGGGCUCUGCUUUGGUUUUGCGGUCACUGCUGCUAAUGCGAGAAAACGGACAGGGCAAAAAACAGGAGAUAAAAGGCAGUCAAAGCACUGCUGAAAAAAUACCAGAUAGUUGUAACUCUUAGGACUAACCUUCGGUGUCAGAGGAGUCAAUGCCUCUAUUUUGAAAGGAUGAGCCAUUUUGGGGUAUAACAGCAAUGCACUUCAUAAUCCCUUCCAUAUUUGGCUUUAUUGGCUUAUUGUGCAGAGCUAUUAGAAUCAGGAUCAUCUCUUAUGAAGCUGUUAAUGGGAUGCAAAUUGCAUGAAAGAUUUCUCCGCAUCAAUAGAAAACAACCUAGUAAUAAGUUAUUGCAUAAAAAUCUGCAUAAAAAUCUGCUACAAAAGAAAUACUUCUAAAGAAGCAAAAAAUCCUGCGUGACUGAGGAGGAAAUAUGCUUUACAAAGUGCAAAUGAGUACUGGUUUUAGAGGUAAAGGUGACCUACCUCAGAGCUGCUCAGAUCCCAAAGAACAGCUGUGCCCUAGCUACCCAUGUAUAGUGAAACAGUGCUUCACACAACAUCAUGGCUACAGCCAGGUAAAAAACAGUGUGAUGAAUGUUUUAAGCACUGAUAGAUGCAAGUUCAGGCUGACCAAACCUGCAUCUGUGCUGAAUUCAGCAAGGAGCUGUGGCCAAAAUAUGUACAUUUGAAUAAAAUGAAAAGUCUAAGCAGCUCUCUGUAUGUGAUGCACUCCUACUUUUCAUGCUGACACGAUGUUUUGAGACUAGAAUUGGACUUACAGUGAGCUAGAAACACCUAAAACCAGCAUUAAGUGCUGAUCAGUAAGUCAAGAGAAAUAUUGUGCUGAGUCUGUCACAUCGCUUUGCUGUUUGUUUUUCCUUUUUGGUGUUGACAUCAAUGUGACUGUGAUUUCAGCUGUGGUUUCCAGAGAGCACUGCAGCGUGCCUGCGGCUGGAAGGAGCCUUUUGCUGCCAUUCAGCCCAUGCCACCUAGCACAACCACGGGGCACUACUGCUUCUCCCACGUGGCGUACACCCCGCUCCCCGAGCAUCAGAGCCUCCAGCACAUCACACACCAUCACUCUCCCACAUUAUGCCACAGAAAUGCUCUUUGGUCUCCUGUUUAACGUCCAGCACCAAAGCAGUGGGAAAUACCAGACCACGCAGUACCCGGUGACCUGUCCCAGUAGAACUGAGCUGCCCUGGGUACACCUGCUCUGCAAAACCUAGAGGACAGAAGAGAAAAGCCACAUUUCUGGGAUUCCUUCUUCCACCCAAAUUCCCUACGUGCAACAGGAGCCAGGGGACUGCAGCCUGGGAUGCUGCUCUGUCUCAAGCCCAAGGGGCCAGGCUUUUCCUGAAAUAACAUCCACCUCUUGCUUUGCCGCCUGCUGGGCUCAGCUGAUGCACAUGGAGGAGCCUAAAUAAAGAAACACAGAGCUCAGAGCCCAGGCUUUUCCUCUCCGCUAUCUGCAUUCUUUUGCAUUCAUUAAAAAACAAACAAACCUGUUUCCUGAUAGCAGGGAGGAAAAUCACAGGGCCGCGUUUUGUUUUUCUUUCACUUGCAAUGGCUCAGAUAUUCGAGGGAGAAGCACCUCUAUGGGAUCUACGCAUGGAGAUGAGAGUGGCUGGUAACAGACAUCAGAACAAGCAACAAAUGUCUCCAUCCCUCAGGGAUGGGAGGAGGGAGAGGGAUGGGAAAAAGCAAAAAAGCGUGGGCAUUGCUCUAUCAACCAGAUGCCAGAGGGGGAACUGGCCUAUUCCCAGUCUUGCUCAGAGAUCUGCCAGGGGUGGCAUCGAUCGGAAGGGUGGAGGAACGCGGCCUCGUAUUUUUGCAGCGAGGAUUGGCUCUCUGAAGGAGAGCUAAAAGAAACAGCAGCUUCCCAACGAGCACAGAAAUUGAGAGAAAACGUUAGAAAACGUCUCCAGAUUACAGGGGUAUAAAGAUAGCCCUGGAAGCGGCCGCGCUCCUUGGCGCAGAGUCGCCAGUGCCGGGAAGUGCCUCACAUCCUGUUCUUUGUAUUGUUCUCCCAACUUGUCUGGUGGCUGGGAAAGUUUCUUCCAGCAAUUUACCCCGUCCUCACCCUGCAGCUGGCGGCCUGCUGCUAUUGAUUCACUUCCCCAGGCAUUUCUCUUACUGUCAUGCUCUUGUGGCACCAAAGCACUCAGUGCCCAGCGCUGCUCCAUUAUAUAUAAGGCUGCUUUCUCUGCCUCUCAGCACAAAAUCAAACUCACAGCACAAAGAGCCGUGGGUUUAGAUAUAUAAUUGGAUCAAAUUGUGUGUAAUGACCUUGUCUGGUCUAUUGUGCCUUUGUUUUCCAUUGCAGCUUGCACCAGAGCAGGU